UACGUAGGCAGCGAGCGUUGUUCGGAGUUACUGGGCGUAAAGGGUGUGUAGGCGGUUUUCUAAGUUUGGUGUGAAAUCUCCCGGCUUAACCGGGAGGGUGCGCCGAAAACUGGGAGACUAGAGUGCGGGAUGGGAGAGUAGAAUUCCUGGUGUAGCGGUGAAAUGCGCAGAUAUCAGGAGGAACACCGAUGGCGAAGGCAGGUCUCUGGGCUGUAACUGACGCUGAGGAGCGAAAGCAUGGGGAGCGAACAGG
rnacentral:rRNA from 1 species